CCUACGGGAGGCAGCAGUGGGGAAUCUUGCGCAAUGGGCGAAAGCCUGACGCAGCCAUGCCGCGUGAAUGAUGAAGGUCUUAGGAUUGUAAAAUUCUUUCACCGGGGACGAUAAUGACGGUACCCGGAGAAGAAGCCCCGGCUAACUUCGUGCCAGCAGCCGCGGUAAUACGAAGGGGGCUAGCGUUGCUCGGAAUUACUGGGCGUAAAGGGAGCGUAGGCGGAUAGUUUAGUCAGAGGUGAAAGCCCAGGGCUCAACCUUGGAAUUGCCUUUGAUACUGGCUAUCUUGAGUUUGGGAGAGGUGAGUGGAACUCCGAGUGUAGAGGUGAAAUUCGUAGAUAUUCGGAAGAACACCAGUGGCGAAGGCGACUCACUGGCCCAAUACUGACGCUGAGGCUCGAAAGCGUGGGGAGCAAACAGGAUUAGAUACCCUGGUAGUCCACGCCGUAAACGAUGAGUGCUAGUUGUCGGCAUGCAUGCAUGUCGGUGACGCAGCUAACGCAUUAAGCACUCCGCCUGGGGAGUACGGUCGCAAGAUUAAAACUUAAAGGAAUUGACGGCUGAGAGNGCGACGAGACGACGAGGAGAG
rnacentral:rRNA from 1 species